rnacentral:rRNA from 1 species
AGAGUUUGAUCCUGGCUCAGGACGAACGCUGGCGGCACGCUUAACACAUGCAAGUCGAACGAGAGAAGAGGAGCUUGCUUUUCUGAUCUAGUGGCGGACGGGUGAGUAACACGUGAGCAAUCUGCCUUUCAGAGGGGGAUACCGAUUGGAAACGAUCGUUAAUACCGCAUAACAUAAUUGAACCGCAUGAUUUGAUUAUCAAAGAUUUAUCGCUGAAAGAUGAGCUCGCGUCUGAUUAGCUAGCUGGUAAGGUAACGGCUUACCAAGGCGACGAUCAGUAGCCGGACUGAGAGGUUGAUCGGCCACAUUGGGACUGAGACACGGCCCAGACUCCUACGGGAGGCAGCAGUGGGGAAUAUUGCACAAUGGAGGAAACUCUGAUGCAGCGAUGCCGCGUGAGGGAAGAAGGUUUUAGGAUUGUAAACCUCUGUCUUCAGGGACGAAAAAAGACGGUACCUGAGGAGGAAGCUCCGGCUAACUACGUGCCAGCAGCCGCGGUAAUACGUAGGGAGCGAGCGUUGUCCGGAAUUACUGGGUGUAAAGGGAGCGUAGGCGGGAUCGCAAGUCAGAUGUGAAAACUAUGGGCUUAACCCAUAAACUGCAUUUGAAACUGUGGUUCUUGAGUGAAGUAGAGGUAAGCGGAAUUCCUAGUGUAGCGGUGAAAUGCGUAGAUAUUAGGAGGAACAUCAGUGGCGAAGGCGGCUUACUGGGCUUUAACUGACGCUGAGGCUCGAAAGCGUGGGGAGCAAACAGGAUUAGAUACCCUGGUAGUCCACGCCGUAAACGAUGAUUACUAGGUGUGGGGGGACUGACCCCUUCCGUGCCGCAGCAAACGCAAUAAGUAAUCCACCUGGGGAGUACGACCGCAAGGUUGAAACUCAAAGGAAUUGACGGGGGCCCGCACAAGCAGUGGAGUAUGUGGAUUAAUUCGAAGCAACGCGAAGAACCUUACCAGGUCUUGACAUCGUAUGCAUAGCUCAGAGAUGAGUGAAAUCUCUUCGGAGACAUAUAGACAGGUGGUGCAUGGUUGUCGUCAGCUUGUGUCGUGAGAUGUUGGGUUAAGUCCCGCAACGAGCGCAACCCUUACUGUUAGUUGCUACGCAAGAGCAUUCUAGCAGGACUGCCGUCGACAAAACGGAGGAAGGUGGGGAUGACGUCAAAUCAUCAUGCCCCCUAUGACCUGGGCCUCACACGUACUACAAUGGCUGUCAACAGAGGGAAGCAAAGCCGCGAGGUGGAGCGAACCCCUAAAAGCAGUCUUAGUUCGGAUUGUAGGCUGCAACCCGCCUACAUGAAGUCGGAAUUGCUAGUAAUCGCAGAUCAGCAUGCUGCGGUGAAUACGUUCCCGGGCCUUGUACACACCGCCCGUCACGCCAUGGGAGUCGGUAACACCCGAAGCCUGUAGUCUAACCGCAAGGAGGACGCAGUCGAAGGUGGGAUUGAUGACUGGGGUGAAGUCGUAACAAGGUA